CGCAUACUCCCUCCAUCCGAAAAAGCUUAUCCCUCAAAUAGAUGCAUUCAACACCAAGUUAGUGCUAGAUACAUCCAUUGGAUAGACAAGCUUGGGACAAGCUUUUUCGGAUGGGGGGAGUACAAA
rfam:Triticum urartu cultivar G1812 contig305365, whole genome shotgun sequence.